AUAGAAAUACAGAAUGCAUAGAAAAUACAAGGGUAAGAAGAGGAAUCAUGUGGAAGAAGAGUAAACAUCUGAUGGUGUCCUGGGUAGCUGAAACUGUGGAAAGCAAAACCGUGGAUAAGGGGGAACUACUAUACUGAAAAUGUACAAAACAGAGAAGAUUUCAUUGAAGAAGUCUGCUGUUUCUGGAAUGGGAAAUUAAGCACAACUGGAACAGUUAUCGACUGUGAUUCUUGCUGGGACCAAUAACCUUCUACAAAUACCAACAUCAGUUUUUAUGAAAGGCAAAGAGCUGACAGGUUUACAGACUGCACCCUAACAUUAAGCUACCAGGAGAAACUUCCAAGUUACCCUCUUGUUACUUGUGCCCCAGAGGUGAACACUAUAAACUGCUACAGCAUGCAAUUUAGGGAGAGGUUCGUGAAGAAGUGAUUGGGAAAGAGAGCAAGUCUUGGUUGGACAGUGUGAUUCAAUAGAAAUGUGAGGAGGAAAACUGCAAUUAUUUCUGAACCUUCCCAUCAGCCUUGUCUCUGAUAGAAUUGGCCUGUUGUGGACGGGCUUUGUGUAGAUUAGAGAAAGAAGAAGAUGCUCUUUUGGUGUAAUUGUUCAGUUCCACAUGGCCGGGGAGGCCUCACGAUCAUGGCAGAAGGCAAGGAGGAGCAAGUCACAUCUUAUGUGGAUGGCAGCAGGCAAAGAGAGAGCGAGCUUGUGCAAGGAGACUCCCAUUUUUAAAACCAUCAGAUCUCGUGAGACUUAUUCACUAUCAGGAGAACAGCAAGCUAAAUCAGUGUGAGACCAAGGACCCUGGGGCUCCUCCAGUCAUUGCAGCUGUAUCACAACUACCCUGACAGAUUUCUUGCUCAGGGCAAGCCACCUGCCAUGUCUUGAGAACACUCAAGCAGCACAUGGCGAGGAAUGGAGAUGGACAGACAUGGGCCAGCAAGAAACAGGCUUGCCAACAACAGCUUGCGUGAUCCUGAAAGUGGGUCCUCUAGCCCCAUGUGACUGUUGCCCUGGCCAACAACUUAACUGCAACCUCAAGAGAUACCUACCCUGAGUCAGAACCACCCAGUCAAACUACCCCUGGCAUCUUAACUCAGAGCCCCGUUGACUGGAGGAUGGCCAUUUGACAACACAUUAUUUCCUGAGGAAACUUUUGACUUCUGGUGACUUGGGCCCCAGGCUGGCUGAAUUUGCCAAGACCCGGCUUUGCCCUUGCAUGUGUGAAAAAUGGCCUCAAGUAUGACCCCAUGGCAAGAUGGAAAGAAACUGUGCUCUUGAAUAGCUUAGAGAUUCAGAGCCCCCCAACCAGCUUGAAACGCCCACCUCAAAACAAUGACAUGAGAAGAAACAAACCUCUAAUUUAAGCCACUGUCUUUUUAAGAGCAUUGUAGUUUGAGAUCUCUUUCUUUCAGCUGUUUAGUCCCCAGCUAAACACUUACUGACCUUAUCUUACAGGUCAAGAAAAAUGAAGUUCUGGGGUACAAGUCACUAAUGUAUUAGAAAUUUUCCAGCUCUCCCUCCUUGCCCAGCAGAGUAUAUUUCCACUCAAACACAAUGAACCCAUUUGGAAUGGGACAAAACAAAAUGGGGUGGGCCUGGAACAAGAGAAAGUUCAGCUACACAGGAUCCAGGUCAAAACUCUUUAAUCCUCCCAUUUCUGGAUUUCAAAUGAACACCUUUUUGUCUAGCAGUUCUCCUCCAGAGGUUUGCUUUCCCACAACAGCUUGUCAACAGUGUAAGAAGUUCAAAAAGAACUUUUGGGGUUGCACGUUGCAGGUUGUGUGGCAUCAUCCCAGCUUGUCUCAACACCUCUGAUGAACAGUAGCGGAAGAAAGGACUCUUUCCACAUGAGUUCCUCGGCGGUCCCCGUCUCUUAGGGAGUUUAUAAAAAAAUCCAUCAUCUUGUUCUACUAAACCCAAGUAAAUAUAAUUAACACCAAAUGUGUGUUCUGCUCAUCAAAUUGUACAGCCAUAAAGAGAUAAUCUUUGUAAAAUAAA
ensembl:lncRNA LINC02889 long intergenic non-protein coding RNA 2889